rnacentral:rRNA from 1 species
AGUGAACGCUGGCGGUAGGCCUAACACAUGCAAGUCGAACGGCAGCACAGUAAGAGCUUGCUCUUACGGGUGGCGAGUGGCGGACGGGUGAUGAAUACAUCGUAAUCUACUUUUUCGUGGGGGAUAACGUAGGUAAACUUACGCUAAUACCGCAUACGACCUACGGGUGAAAGCAUUGGAUCUUCGGACCUUGCGCGAUUUAAUGAGCCGAUGUCGGAUUAGCUAGUUGGCGGGGUAAAGGCCCACCAAGGCGACGAUCCGUAGCUUGUCUGAGAGGAUGUUAAGCAAAAGUGGAACUGAGAAAGGGUCAAGAGACCAAAGGGAGGAAGAAGUGGGGAAUAUUGGACAAAGGGCGAAAGCCGGAUCCAGACAUACCGCGUGGGUGAAGAAGGCCUUCGGGUUGUAAAGCCCUUUUGUUGGGAAAGAAAAGCAGAAGGUUAAUACCCCGCUGUUCUGACGGUACAAAAAGAAUAAGCACCGGCUAACUUCGU